rnacentral:rRNA from 1 species
UGAGGAAUAUUGCACAAUGGGCGCAAGCCUGAUGCAGCAACGCCGCGUGAACGAUGAAGGUCUUCGGAUCGUAAAGUUCUGUUGCAGGGGAAGAUAAUGACGGUACCCUGUGAGGAAGCCCCGGCUAACUACGUGCCAGCAGCCGCGGUAAUACGUAGGGGGCUAGCGUUAUCCGGAUUUACUGGGCGUAAAGGGUGCGUAGGUGGUCUUUCAAGUCGGUGGUUAAAGGCUACGGCUCAACCGUAGUUAGCCUCCGAAACUGGAAGACUUGAGUGCAGGAGAGGAAAGUGGAAUUCCCAGUGUAGCGGUGAAAUGCGUAGAUAUUGGGAGGAACACCAGUAGCGAAGGCGGCUUUCUGGACUGCAACUGACACUGAGGCACGAAAGCGUGGGUAGCAAACAGG